rnacentral:rRNA from 1 species
UGCAUGGUUGUCGUCAGCUCGUGUCGAGAGAUGUUGGGUUAAGUCCCGCAACGAGCGCAACCCUUAAGCUUAGUAGCCAUCAUUAAGUUGGGCACUCUAAGUUGACUGCCGGUGACAAACCGGAGGAAGGUGGGGAUGACGUCAAUUCAUCAUGCCCCUUAUGAUUUGGGCUACACACGUGCUACAAUGGACAAGACAAAGGGCAGCGACACCGCGAGGUCAAGCAAAUCCCAUAAAGUUGUUCUCAGUUCGGAUUG